UCAGGACGAACGCUGGCGGCGUGCCUAACACAUGCAAGUCGAGCGAGGAGAUCCUUCGGGAUGAUCCUAGCGGCGGACGGGUGAGUAACACGUGGGCAACCUGCCUCAUAGAGAGGAAUAGCCUUCCGAAAGGAGAUUAAUACCUCAUAACAUUGCAGUUUCGCAUGGAACAGCAAUUAAAGGAGUAAUCCGCUAUGAGAUGGGCCCGCGGCGCAUUAGCUAGUUGGUGAGGUAACGGCUCACCAAGGCGACGAUGCGUAGCCGACCUGAGAGGGUGAUCGGCCACAUUGGGACUGAGACACGGCCCAGACUCCUACGGGAGGCAGCAGUGGGGAAUAUUGCACAAUGGGGGAAACCCUGAUGCAAGCAACGCCGCGUGAGUGAUGACGGCCUUCGGGUUGUAAAGCUCUGUCUUCAGGGACGAUAAUGACGGUACCUGAGGAGGAAGCCACGGCUAACUACGUGCCAGCCGCAGC
rnacentral:rRNA from 1 species